UAAGGAAUAUUGGUCAAUGGACGCAAGUCUGAACCAGCCAUGCCGCGUGGAGGAUGAAGGCCCUCUGGGUUGUAAACUUCUUUUAUUUGGGAAGAAACCCAUCUUUUCUAAGGUGGUUGACGGUACCAGAUGAAUAAGCACCGGCUAACUCCGUGCCAGCAGCCGCGGUAAUACGGAGGGUGCAAGCGUUAUCCGGAUUCACUGGGUUUAAAGGGUGCGUAGGUGGGCAGGUAAGUCAGUGGUGAAAUCUCCGGGCUUAACCCGGAAACUGCCGUUGAUACUAUCUGUCUUGAAUGUAGUGGAGGUGAGCGGAAUAUGUCAUGUAGCGGUGAAAUGCUUAGAUAUGACAUAGAACACCAAUUGCGAAGGCAGCUCGCUACACUAUUAUUGACACUGAGGCACGAAAGCGUGGGGAUCAAACAGGAUUAGAUACCCCCGUAGUCC
rnacentral:rRNA from 1 species